UGGGGAAUAUUGGACAAUGGGGGAAACCCUGAUCCAGCGACGCCGCGUGAGGGAUGAAGGUCUUCGGAUUGUAAACCUCUUUUGCCUGGGAAUAACUGCCCUGUAGAAAUACGGGGAUUGAAUGUACCAGGCGAAUACGCCACGGCUAACUUCGUGCCAGCAGCCGCGGUAAUACGAAGGUGGCAAGCGUUACUCGGAAUUACUAGGCGUAAAGGGCAGGUAGGCGGUUUGGUAAGUCUGUUGUGAAAGCUCCUUGCUUAACGGGGAGAGGCCAACAGAUACUACCAGGCUUGAGUAUAGGAGAGGGUACUGGAAUUCCCGGUGUAGCGGUGAAAUGCGCAGAGAUCGGGAGGAACACCAAUGGCGAAAGCAGGUACCUGGACUAUUACUGACGCUCAGCUGCGAAAGCUAGGGGAGCAAA
rnacentral:rRNA from 1 species